GAAAAAGCAAAAAAGAAGAAGAAAACACCAUCACUACACAUCACACUUUUCUCACAUAAGGGCCUCUGCUUUUUCUUCUUCAUCUUUGAUGAGCUCUUUGAUUUUGACUUAGCUUCACUCUUCUCAGAUCAGUUCAUUUUACCAGCAUGUUUUGGUUGAUGAAAAGCAAGAUGGAGUAAAACUUACAGAUUGAAAGUUAUAGAUUACACAGAACGAUAGUCUGUCGUGCCGUGUUAGCUGUCCUGAUAUUCUUGUAGUUGUAGCUUUGGAGUCAACCAUGUGAUGAAGAUUGUACCCAGGCCUUCUUAAUAUACCUGCUUAUUCUAAACAUCGCCAG